ensembl:processed_transcript Gm12602 predicted gene 12602
UUUGUUCCUUCAUCUGUGAGACUAGGGUGAGUCCUCCGAGCUAGUGUGAGACACUUGGAACUUGCUGUUUCCUGUGAAUUGAAAUGUUCCCUGGUGAGUUUGUCAGGAGUGUGAAGAGGCUCAAGACUCAGGAAGAUAAUGAAAGUUACAAGGCUUGCAAAGCUCAUAAAAGUUACAAGAUCCACCAGUAAUUGCUGGGAGAAGAAGAGAUUGUCCUUUGGCACUGAGCCCCAGUUGUGGAGGGACCAUUAGAGAUGUGGCUUCUGUGAGCUGAUCCUGAAUGAUCAGCACAAAGCAGUGUUAAGUACAGAAAUACAAAUUCGGAACACAGGUUCAAUAGCAUCACACAGUUGCCAGUUUCACGAAGUUUCUCAGUUAAAAUGGUCGUCUACUGAAAUUAACAAGGUGCCAAUGACUCAUGGGAUUGUCAGGAGUAGAAAACAUUGGAAGAGCUAAAACAGAAAGAAACAAACAGACCGCCCCCAACCCUUGCCACAUCCCAAACAAAACAUCUGUUGGUGAGACACAAAUGGACCUGCACUUAAACAAUUUCAUGCUACUUGCAGCUGAAGAAGGAAGUUGCAAACUAAAGAGACAUAUGAUACCUUCUUAUUUAAUAACUUCUAGAAUGCCAAGAGAAUAGAGAUUAUUUAUCCCACCUGAUGAGUUCUCCAUAUGGGGACUGUCCCUGUUGAAAUGGUCAACCA